UUUGAAGCAAACGUAAGGCUCACUGUGCAGCUGUGGCACGGAGCUCUGCAGAAACGAAACUUACCGGCCCAGCUGAGCGGAGCGCGUGAAGCUGCUGACGCCUCGGUGUGAGUUUGCGGGAACAGCGCGUGCCUUCCGUUUGGCGCUCCAGCAGAAAUGUUGGUGGUCUCAGUCAAGUCCCGCUCACUUCCCGUCCCACAUUAAAAACACUUUCCGCCGUCAGUGUCAGUGUCAGUCUGUCUGUGUGUCUGAGUUUGUGUGUCCUCGCGCUGCAGACAGCUCGUGCAGCACACCUGGAGAAAACUGAUCUGUAUUUAAAUGAUGGCGGGUGUCACGUGGAUCCUGACCGUUCUGUGUGCUGCGGGAUGUCACCUGUCUUCAGCCUCACCUGUUCACAGCUCCACCCUGGUGGUGCCCGUGGGCCACAACGUCUUUCUGCUCUGCAACGUGACGCCCAGCGAUGAGAUCACCUGGUACCUGCUGCGCUCAGAGCAGCUGCUGCCUCUGUUAACUGUUAAAAAGGGGAAGUUUGUUGACACCACUGACAAUCACACAAACAACCAUCGGAUGAACUGUAACGGGACGCUGCAGACCGGCCUGGUCAGCCUGGAGAUCCAGGAGGUGGAGGAGGAGGAUGCUGGGCUGUACUUCUGCAUCGGGAGGUUUGCAGCUAAGAUGCACGUUAACAGAGGAAUUCAGCUGACUGUGGACGGUAAGACGGGCAGAUGUUUCUACUGUCGGCUCGAGCUGAGCUGUGCUCAGAAACUUUGUUGAAGAUGAAGAUUUUUAAACAGCAAGAACAUUUCAUGAUACACGAUGAAGAUCUAAGAUUUCCUUUUUAAAAUGUUUGUGUUGUUCUGCCGGCUGGUCCAGGCUGUCAGGCUUGGUCAGGAGGCUGAAAGAUUUAAAAUCAUUUUCUGGAUUUUCUAAAACAGUUUUGAGAGUAUUUGAUCAUAAAUGUUUACAUGUUGAGUUGAGGAUGACUAUGGAAACAGAUCAGUGGAACAUGAAAGUGAGCGCUGGGAGCGAUAUUUGUAAAAGUGAGGCAGUGACCGUGGAUUCUUUCUUUAAAAUGAUUUAUGAACACUUCUCAGGAAUCAGAUGUUCUGUAUGACUUCUGGCUCAGAGGAGCAGAUACCAAGCGUGGACCUGUAGGUGGCGCCAGUCAGUAAGCGUGACCUCCUGAUCUCUCAUAGAGCUUCAGCUGGAUGUCGUGUUUCUGUCUGCAGCACGUGCAGCUGUCCGGCUGCGUUCACAGCUGGGGAUUAGAUCACAAACUUUUUUUGUCUUCACUGAGUUUUUCCUUCAGUCGGCGUCUCUGUGUCUCAUUCACUUGUUAGGCUACAGCGAGCUUCAGUUCUUGGCAUCGAUCCUCCGGGUCUGUGGAUCUCUGCUGCAGACCUGAGUGAAGUUGGCCCCCACCUUCUACAGACCAAACAAAAUUGAUGUGAAACAUGUGCGCUACAUUUGUGCUGAUUUUGUUUUAAAGACAGUAACAGAAGUUUCUAGGUUCAUCCAAAGUCACUCAGGCCGUUUCUUUACUGUGAAAAUGCUGUGAAACAUAAACCAGUGCUGGAUACUUUUUAUCAUGAUCACACUCUGUAAAAGUAAAAAACGGGGUUAACUUAAAAUAUUUUUAAUAGUUCCAAUAAACUACAGUAUGCAUUCAGAGAAAAACAAACCAUCAGAACAAUGCUGGCACGUUUCCUCUCAGAGCAGCUAAAGACAUGAAACUGUCGAGUCUCAAGUUUACAAUAAAUCCAUGAAUAAAAGCUCGUUCACAAACACAAACGUUUGACUUCAAUUUUGUUUGAUCUGAAGAAGGUGGGGGACCCCCUAUGGGCAGAAAUUUGUGCCAUCAGAAACUGAAUUUGAAUAAGUUAAAUUUGAAUUUGAAUUACUCGGAUUGAAUCUGAAUUGUAACUUGAAUGAAAGCUUUUGAAAACUGAAUUUGAAUUAGUUUAAUUUGAAAUUGAAUUUAUGGUUUGAAAAUGAAUUGAUUUGCUUUGAAACUGCAUUUUAUCCUUUAAAAAUUCAGCUCUCGAAUAAUUUCAGAUUCACUUCUCACCAUUCAGUUUCAGUUCUACAAUUCAAUUUCAGUUCCAAAAUUCAGUUUUUUGGGACUUACAUCCGGUUCCGGUUCAAGCGCAGAUUAAUAGAACUACAGACUGAUAGCGUUACUGACGGGAAUCUACAGCGUCUUGGGCUGAAUUAAGACUUCAGAAGUCAUUCGUCAUGUCGAAUGACCAGCGGAUAAACUCUCAGGUGUUUUGUGCCAGAAAUGGAGUGUCCACUGAAGACUGAAGAUACUGAAUCUCUACGCUGUGCCAUUGAUCCCUCCUGUGCCUUCAUCUAGACAAGAGACAUUAACUUAACCACUCUCACAUGCUCUGUACCUACAUCACCUUCCCUGACAGUCGUAGCUUGGCUCAUCUGAGGGUGAAAUUAUAAGAAUGUGUUAUUUUGCAAAGUGCUCUCUAGGGUUCCUAAAUAAAAUAUGGCAUUGAGGUCAUUUCUUUUGAAUUAAUCCCUUCUUCUGAAAUAUAAGAACCUCUCCUGGUUUAAAUGGCACUUUCUGUUCCUUACUUCCUGUUCCAUUCCCAACCCCAAAUAGAUGCUGACAAGCUGACACAGUAAUAUGGAAGAGGGAGAGAAGCUGGAAAGGACUACUACAAAUAAACCUAAUGCCUAACAAUGAAAAAUGUAAAAUAAGAACAACAAUAAUAAUAAAGAUAAAAGAUGAAGUAACAAGUUAUUCGUUUUUUUGUUUAUUCCAAAUGAUCAUCCAGAUGUCUGUGACAUGUGAUGACAAACACCAUAAUGCAAGGCCUUUGUCAUCACAUGCUUAAACUCAUCAUAUAUUUUUGAAUAUGCUGAACUGGCAGUCAGACAUGCUGUAACUGUGGGGUAGAAAACUGCAUGAACACCAUACGGCAGGAGUCUCAAACUCCAGUUAUCGAGGGCAUGGAAAAGUUGCAUGACACCAGCCUUCGAGGACUGGAGUUUGAGACCCCUGUCAUAUUCCAUAUGACAGGUUUUGGUUGAACUUCAUGAAGACUCUGAAGUUUCUCUUCUCUUCUGGCAGGACAGGAAUGUCGCCUUGUCCUGUGAGCCACCGUAAGGAUGUAAUUAGAGUAGAACUGGACUGUCACCGGCCUCAGGCUCUUCACCUUUUCAAAGACAAAGCAGUCAUUUAGAUAAAAUAUUAGAUAUUGUUUACCUGUAAAUGCACAAAGAGAAUUUAGAAAUGUAAUUAUUGUCAAGAGUGAAAAAGCACUGAUAGUGUAAUUUACAGCUGUGGCCAAACGUUUAGAGAAUGAGAAGUGUUGUUUAUUUACAAAGUUUGCUGUUUCAGUGAUAGUUGUAUAUCAUAUCAUAUCACUUCAAACAGAGGUGAUCCAGUAAUGCUGCACUAAUGAAUUAGACUAACUAUUCACUUUAGCUAAAGUUAUUAAGUUAGCUAAAGAGUUGGGAUGCUGUGUAAGACAUAAAUAAAGCUAAAAUACAAAGGUUUGGACACUGUUUUGCAUGUUUCCUUACUGUAGGGGUCUCUGCAAGCAUACAGGGCUCUGACAGGGUACAAGAUGACAAC
ensembl:lncRNA